rnacentral:rRNA from 1 species
UACGUAGGGUGCAAGCGUUGUCCGGAAUUAUUGGGCGUAAAGAGCUCGUAGGCGGCUUGUCGCGUCGGCUGUGAAAACCUGAGGCUCAACCUCGGGCCUGCAGCCGAUACGGGCAAGCUAGAAUUCGGUAGGGGAGACUGGAAUUCCUGGUGUAGCGGUGAAAUGCGCAGAUAUCAGGAGGAACACCUGCGGUGUAGACGGCUUUCUGGACCAUUGCUGACGCUGAGACACGAAAGCGUGGGUAGCAAACAGG